rnacentral:sRNA from 1 species
GCUGGGUGUGGUGGUGCACACCUGUAAUCCCAGCAGCUCAGGAGGCUGAGGCAGGAGGAUCUCAAGUUCCAAGCCAGCCUCAGCAACUUAGAGAGGCCCUAAGCAACUCAGUGAGACCCUGUCUCUA